GGGCGAUUAGCUCAGCGGAUAGAGCACAAGCCUCCGGAGCUUGGUGCCGCGGGUUCGAUCCCCGCAUCGCCCUCCA
rnacentral:tRNA from 2 species